AGUCAACAUUGUGAAAAAAGAAAAAAAAAAUGCAAAAAUCAAGAAUUUUGCAAAAGAUAUUUGUUUGCAUGAACCAUAGACAGCAGGAUUAGGGCAUUAUGAAUGCGAUCGAUGCAUGAUUCAUGUAAACUUUGGCUGAUUGAUUAAUAUCACUGUCACUGUCUGUUUCUUUCUUUAACUUGUUUUACUAUCCAAAAGCAAAAUUAUUAACUUACACCUUGUCCUCUCCUCUCCUCUGCUAGACACAUCACGAAAGCCGACCCUUCCUAAAGCUUCAAUUAAAUUUUUAGCAGCGAAGUUGAUAGCUAUCAAUUCAUUUCAAAACUUAAGCGUGAAAGUUUGAUUACUUUCUCAGGGAAAAUGCAUUAAAUUAAUGUCAAAGUUGUAGUUGCACGCUCUAACAAAACUAAACCGCACAAAUAUAUUUCGUGAAGCAAAAAAAAAAAAAAAAAUCAAUGUGACACUCAUCAAUCAGCUAGCCAUAUAUAUAUAUAUAUAUAUAUAUAUAUAUAUAUAUAUAUUCACUGAGAAAAUAAAAACAUAAAAUUUUCAAGUUUAAAUUAUAUCCGCAACUCUUUUGUAGAGGUUGCUGGAGAAUCUUCGUUGUUAAAUAUUGUUAUUUUACAUGUAUAAUAAUUAAGCUCCUUCAAUUUUGGUAAGUAGACCAAAGAGUCAUUCACAGUAUGCCUAUAUUUUCUUUACCUGCAAGUCAUCAUACCCUUUGCAUGUGCAAAUAAGAAGUCGAUCACAAUGAACAUGAUUCACCAAUUAAAAAACUAAAAAAACUUUCGACUUAUCCAUUGGGUUCUUAUUCUUCUUUUAAAAAAAUAAUAAUAAUUCAAAAAAAAUGUUAUAUGAACUUGCUUACACUAUAUACAGUACUGAUCCAUUAAUGUAUGGGAUUCCAGGACAAAACACAAACAGACAAAAAAAUCAAAGCACUGAAAAUUAAAUUAUUGUAUUACACAUAUUUACAACUUUUAUUAGAGCAUACAUUACAUUGAUAUUUAUAAUUAGAUAUAUAACUGAAACUUACAUUAUUACCAAAUAUAUAACUGGGACUCAGGGCCGGCUCAACCAUAUUUA
rnacentral:lncRNA from 1 species